GUAUGUACUAUGAGCGCACCUGUGAAAGGCUCAACAUCCUCAAAACUAAAAACCCAUCAGGGAGCAGGAAAACAAAGGAUCUGUUGAAGAUCUGACAAGUGAAGUCAACCCCUGAGCCACCUGACAGACCUGUGAGCAGCCAGAGAUGACACACCUUCUGAGUUCCCAACAGCAUCCACA